UACGGAGGGGGCUAGCGUUGUCCGGAAUUACUGGGCGUAAAGCGCUCGUAGGCGGAUUGAUCAGUCAGAGGUGAAAGCCCGGGGCUCAACCCCGGAAUUGCCUUUGAUACUGUCAGUCUAGAGUCCGAGAGAGGUGAGUGGAAGUCCUAGUGUAGAGGUGAAAUUCGUAGAUAUUAGGAAGAACACCAGUGGCGAAGGCGGCUCACUGGCUCGGUACUGACGCUGAGGAGCGAAAGCGUGGGGAGCAAACAGG
rnacentral:rRNA from 1 species